CACCCAGUACUACUGUUCCUAAGCCUUUCAACAAAAUCCACCUCGACUCACUUGGUAAGGUAUCCUGGUGUUCCAAAUCAGGGCUUCCAGCGCAUGGCUUGACUGCCUUUUCUCGAUAGACGAUAAGCCCUGUCCCUGAACUGGCCACCUUUAUCAACUUGCUUUUACUGCGUCAAGUCAUCUCAACAGCGAGGCAGGUGGAGUCAGAGACUGGGGCCCCUGGUAGCGAAUGCCCAGUUCUUCAUUCUUCUCCUCUUGGGGAACGCAUAGCUGUAAGACUGAACUUGCGAACUUUACACGGACUGCCCCGGAGGCUAAGAGACAGUAUGGGCUGGGACCGCAGUCAUCGUUCCAAAGGUGAGAAACUAAGGCGGAAGAAGUUAUGGUCAUGCAUCUAGCCAGUGAUGGAACAACCUUCUGACCACAAGUUGCCCUCAUCUGGAUACACCUUUCCCUCACCAUGGACAAUGCCACCUUAAGGGAAGCCUAGGGCAAUUCUAGAGAGGUGUGGGUAGCAGUCCAAGGCUGAGGCCUGACUGCAGCACUGCUGAGAGGGAUAGAGACUUCCAGGGCUCAGUGUCUACAGGGUCAUUUGUUUACCAUGUUCUUAAAAUUUCAGCACAGGCAAAAGUGAAUCCAAGACUAUAAUACCUCUUCCUUGUAGAAUGGCUCAGAAACCCACACCAGAUCACGGUUUCCUGUCUUGUGGCUACCAGAUGUGGUCAGUGCUCUAGUGACCAAGUUCACAUCUAAGGUACUUGUCUUUAGAAGACAAUAAGCAGUUAUAACAUGGAAAGAACAAAGUUCAAAUAAAGUCUUAGAGCUAAUAACAGAACAGCCUAAAAAUUACAAAAUCUCCUUUCAUACGUGCUGAUUUCAGGUAAUUGUAUCAAGAUGGAUAAAAGAGAGA